CUAGUAUGUUCUGGAUAUUGCUGUCAACUGUAUUCAGUUAUUACACUCUACUUGUAAAUGCUGUCGGGCUGGUAUUGGAUGCUGCAUUUAAUUUUAUGUAUGUGGCGUGCAUGCUGCUGUUUCCCAUACUGGUCGAGAUUGGUGAACACUGAGAUUUGUGCAGCACACUGCAUUCUAUUUUGUGUGCAUUUUAGAUAUUGUUGACAGUUAAUACUGACGGUGAACACUGAAAAUACCUAUAGGCUGCAGUGUUUUGUGCUAAACGCGAGGCUGCAGCAACUUUCCGUUGGGUCUGGUAUGCAGUACAAGAAACUGUAAAAUGGUAUGUUUAAUUGAUUUGUGUAAUAUGGAGAUUUUAAUGAUAAUAAAUUACUGUUUUUAGAUGGGUUUAAGAUGUAUUGUGAAGCGUUGUUUUAUCUAGAGAUUGCAUAAUACGUUUAUUUGGAAUUAUGUAAUGGUGCUGUGUAACAUGGGUUGGUGUUUUAUUUGAGAAUGUAAUUUUAUAUAUUGUCUUCUUUUUUUGUAGAGUGCUAUGUGGUCCUGUUGAUCACUGUUUUCCCUACCUUUAUUUUUUUGUAUAGUUUGUUUAUUGGCUUGGAAGCUGAUUAUUGUUAUUUUUGUUUGUUUCAUUUAUUUUCUAUCGGCCCAUAGUUACCUUGCCUCCUUACUGAUUUAGAGCGCUCUUAACAAAAGUAGGACAAAUACUACAUCAGGUUGUGUACUGUUUAUGACAAUCGGAGGGGGGGUUACUCACUAUUAAUUGUACAAGUGUGGUGUGUUGUGUGGGCUUUGUUUUGUACUUUGGUUUAUCGGAUUUGUUUCUUUUUUCUUUCUUUUUCUUUUGAAUUGUAUCGUGAAGUGGCUAACCCCUCGGUAGAAGUAACCUUUGUGCACGUAUGCUGGUUUAAGUCCUCAGUAUGAUUUAAAUUAAGAGAGCGAGAAAAACCAGUAAAUAAAUGUAUUGACUUAAUGCAGUAUUGGUCUGAGUAAUUUCAUUUAUUUGAAUAACUGUGUGGGAAGCCCUUUGUGGGAUCUCCUACCCGUGUAAAUUGGAGUGGCGUAGUCACUGACAAUUAGUUACCUAUUUGACUCUGUCACAGCUGUGAGACAUUUACGUCUCUCACACUCCUAUAUUGUCUUGGCAUCAUCUAUAAGGUGCAAAAAUGCAGUUUUGUUAUGACCUUUGAUUGGAACAACCUGUAACAAUUUGUUCACAAACUACAACCUGGGCCAGGAGCUUCUAAAGAGAAAGUCCAUGUUUGUCUUCACAUACUGUUCAGAACAGCCAGUAACAACAAUAAUGUCUUACUGCCCCAACAAGGGAAAAACUUUAUUCUCAUGAGCACUUUGCACAAAAAUGCUGAAAGCAGAACAUGCGAGAACCAGAAACCGAGGUUUGUUGGACGAAGAUGUUUCCUACUGUAAGUGCCAUGUGUCAAAGCGGUACAAGAGGCACAUCUUCUCUAAGGAGCUGGGGAAGAAACGUGAUACUACAUGGAACAUGUACCAAGGACCAGCUGCUGUACAGUGAGGGAUCCAGGACAGGAUGACACGUUGUGCACCAGCACGCCAGGUUGUUACUGGGGGAAAAGAAAGAGGAAGAAGCAGCCAUCUGAUGGCAAGACUAACAUGUGAACCACAUCACAGCGUGGUCUGUACAAAUGACCAUUCGCAGGGACCACACUGUGAUACCAUGUCCUUCAUAUACUGCAGACCUGCCAACCUUGGAAAAAAAUUUGAGUAGCAACUUACUGCAUCGACACGGCGCAAGGUCAGGCACAUUUGCUGGUCAGUGUUGAUUAAGUUCACAAGCUCAUUCAUCACAAAUUUUUACUAUAUUUUUCCUAUAUAAAUACUGCCAAAUAAAGUAAAAUUUGACCUGUGCGUAAAAUUUAAACUUUAGGCACAACACCGGUCAAGAACUUCUGAGGGGCUUCCCUCUCCCUCUCUGUCCGUAUCCUCAUCUGACAUCAUGUGUAUUACUAACUGCAAGGCACACACUCAAAACACACACAUCAUCAUUCUCAUGUUUUUCUUAAUGUUUCCACGCGCAUUUGCAUGAAAACACUUUGUACAUAUUAAUAAUGUUUUAAGGCACAAAUGGCAUGUAAGAAGAUUUGCAUCUUACAGUAAUGUACAAAAUGUACAAUAACAAUACUUGGCUGCUACUAAAAUAAAGAGUAUAACGUUAUGUGCAUGAUCGAUUGUGUAAUAUCUGCAUACUAUUUUAACAACUCUUUAUGUAUUGCCAUAAAUUAGAUCUAAUGAACUAAACAGUAACUUCAUAUCUGACAACACAUACAUGAGUUCAUUUUCUCAGCAAUAAAGCAAGACUCUAGACUUCACUAUGGUUUUGACUGGCUGAUCAUAUAAUAAUACCUCCCUCAUCAUUUCUACAGGAGCCGGUAACAAUCGAGUCAGAAUACGAUUGAUAUUUACUGACUACGUGCUAUAAAAGGGACACGGAUGCUCGCGGAAAUUGAUGUCUGAGUGCUCGUGCCAGUUUGUCUUUCCCGUUAAAGUACGAUGGCAAUGCGUUUACAGGCAUGACUUACGUUUCCUAUAUAAAUACUGGCAAAUAAAUUAAAACUUGAUCUGUGCGUAAAACUUAAACUUGAGGCACAACACCGGACACUUGGGCACAUGCCCCCAGUAAAGGAGUCUAAUGACGCCUGUGGUUCAGCAGGCUUAUUAAAAUGGAUGAAAUUCACAAUUCUGGCCAUUUACCUUUGAAACGUUAACUUAUAAAAAACGGUCACUGUAAGAAGAAUUGAAGACGGACAGAGACGGAUGAAAACCACCUCCGUUUUGACGGCUCUCCGCUUGUAGCGUUGAAGAGUUUUAAACUGGCGCUAUGAUUGGUCUAAUUAUUAUUUUCCCAGGUUGCUGCCCAAUGCGGUCACACCCAUAGGCGCGUUGCCCGGUGCGUAAAUGCACAGACAGUUGAACUCAAAGCCAUCAAUGGUUUUUUACAAUGCGUAUUUUGAAGUGACAAAUUGUAGCAGCGUACUUUGAUGUCUAAAUGCGUAUCUGCUACACAAAAUGCGUAAAGGUUGGCAGGUCUGUAUACUGUGUAGAUGCCCACAUAUGCACCUUUUCAUUUCUACCUAUAAAUGUUUGUAUUUCUGUACAUUGUGUCAUGUGCAUAGUGUGUAUGGUGACAAUGUAAAGACACAUCAUAUGUACAUACAUACAUGUGUUCAUAUUGUCAGUAUUAUAUUGUGGUUGGCCGUUGUGUUCAUUUUUGGUUUAAAAUCAAUGCUCAAAUAAGUUACUUUCAUUUGUGUUGAUUUUAAGUCACCGGGUCAAUUUGACAGACUCAUUUCCCAGCACUGUGACUUUCUACAUGUAUUGUAGAAAGAUGUGGCUCAGCGCAAUGAAUAGUUCCCAUCACUAUAUUGUAGAUGUUACGAUCAUUACAUCUACUUGUUAAUGGCCUGGCAUUGAUACAAUAGACAAGCCAGGCAUUUGUCUGUGACUUAAUGUCCCCUUGGAAUUUGUGUAUUGGCUCACAGUGGCUGCACGAUGUGUCUCUGUGCCCUGUGAAAGCUGGAAUGCUGAAUGAAUUCUUCAAGAAUUGCUGAUAAUCUAGAGCGUUUCUGAAAGUAGAUGAAACAGUAAGAAUAGCUGGAAGUGUCUGAUACAUUAAAACUACUGUAUAGCUGAAAACACCUGAGAUGAAAUACAAGUAGAAAUAGUUGAAUUUCAAAAUAACGAGUAAUUAAAUAAGUAUUGAAAAUGCAGUCAUCAAGUAAAUGGUAGGUGACUUAAUUCUAACAAUAGAAAUGUAAAAAAGCCCUAAGAUCGAAGACCAUAAAAGAUAUUACAAAACCGAGCAGAGGGUUUAUAGUGUACUGUUAUGACUACAAAAAGUAAAGUAUCUUUUUAUAUUUUGGCCCACCGUGAAUUUGAGUUUGACACCCCUGAUGUAAUUUGAUAUUGAUUUAAGAAUUAUCUUAGUUCUGUUUGUGACCGCAUUCAGUCUUGUGUGAAUUAACUAUUUUAAAAAGAGUAACUUCAGACUAAUAUCUGUAACUUUUUCAUUUUAUCCUGUAGUGUCGACAUGAUUUUUAAACAUUAGCUGUGUAUGUUUUUCUAAUACCAGCUCAUCAUCGACCCACAUUUGACUUUGUUAAAAAGGUAAAGUUAUUGUAUUGUAUACUCUUACGCUUUUCAUGGCCAAAAUCAUGCAGAAGAAAGGGUUUAAAGUUGUUGCAUAGUGUUCAUAAAAUUCAUGCCAGAAUUCUGAUAGGCAACUCACCAAACUCCACCAAUGUCAUGACGCAUCUCGUAUUGCAUAUUUGGGAGAAGCAGCUUGAAUUCAGAGAAGUGUGCAAUAAGUUCAGAAAAUAUCUGUCCACCAUGAAUCACAAGAAUUAUUUUGUGUGGCAUUGAUGCUUCUGGACUCGGAGGCAAAAUGUCUUCUAAAUUUUGUAGAUCUAUGACCGUGAUUUCUCCAGAGAAUAUUAUCACUUCAUCACUUGCAUCUAGCAAGGCUGUUUAGGAACUGUGAAAAGAAACAUUCAGAUCUUCUCUAGAAUAUAGAGGAGGCACAUAAUCACUGCUUAAACCAGUACUUUCCACAAAAAUGACAUUCAAGCCUCCUGAAGACUGAAAUAAUAUAUUAUACUUCCUCCACUGUGUCCUGUUGUGAGUUUUGAUGCAUCAUACAUUUCCCCUACUGUACUGUUGUCAUCUAAUGACAUUUCCGGAUAAUUUAUUAGAUCCACUUCAAAUUCAGAAAUACUGCCUUGAGAAUUUUUUUCAUUUUGCCUCCUCAGUCAGUUCUUUUUUUUUUUUUCCAGUCUCUUGGCACAGUCAACUUGUUUCUUGCAACUCCUUUUUUUAUUCUCUUUUGUGAAGCAUCCACCCAAUCUCCACUUUUCUUGUCAGUAGAACAUUCCUUUUUUUUUGUUGUCUGCUGAUCAGUCUUGGAAUGAUUUCGUUUUUAGUCUUUUGUUUAAUUUCGACUUUAGGUGAUCAAACAGCUUGGACUUCAUGUAAGUGGGUUUGCUUUCUUGCCUCCUACAAUAUCCCAUCACUGGUAGCCUGUCACCAUAGGAAGGCAAACAGCUUUUCAUCUGGUCAUCAUUCAUUAGCAGAAGGAUGUCCGCAUCAAUCUACAAACAAAUACAUUUUUAGUAUUAGUCUAUACAUAUAUAUAUGAUCCAAUCUCCAAGCCAAUCACUUAAUUAAAAAUAAAAUAAAAUAGGUGAAUCUCACAGGAUGUCUUUGUAGCUCUUGUCUACACACCAAAAAGAUAAUUAAAUUAUUUGAGGUAGAAUCAGAAGAUACGCAAUUCACCCGCUUCGAAUGUUAUCACACUAUUGAAUGGAUGUUCAGUGGAUUGAAUGGAUGGAUCAGUGUUUAAUGGGAAGAUCGAUAUGGUCCAGUCGGGGCAUGUUGUGGCUACUGGAAGGCUCAGAAGGUUGUUAUCAUCUAUCAAAUGCUCAAUCAAUGAUACAACUACAAGAGAAGUCUCCAGAUCCACUCAGAGGAAUCCAGUUCACCGGGAAUCCAGUUUACCGAUGGCUGGACGUCGACUGGAUAAAACGGCAACGUUGGGCACUUUCCUGCUUAAUUGUUUCAGAUUCUUCAGGACUUCACUCUCCUCUUUGGGUCAGAAACUGCUUCCAGACUUUUGGAAAGGUGGCCAACUGCUUUCAAAGCAAAGGUUAUCAGACUAGCAUAAACCUUGACUCCUACUCCACUGCUGAAAAGAUUGUCAUCUGCCAAACAGAACAGAGAAGGCAGUGAGGCACAAGAUUCCCCAGAUUGGGACAAUGACGCAUCUUCAUUUCUUCUGCUUCUGCAUCUCUUCUCACCCCAGGCUUCAGGAAGAAAGAAAAUCCAUAAGAUCAGUGUUUGUCAGGCUGUUGACCAUCUGGUGGUAUUUCAUAAAACAUGCCGGAGUAUACAGGAACACCUUGAGACAGAAGAGAAUCGUCAACCAUACAUUCUUCAGGGUGCAGCAAGGAAGCAAUCAGUCAGUUCUUCAUCAUGGUUGAUAAAAAGAUCAUCCCCUGUCAAGCAUCCUCUUCACUAGCAUCAAUUGAUGUACUCUUCAAGGUCCAUUUUGUCUUCAGCAUAAGCUAUGAUCUUCCACUCAAAAAGCUAUACACUUUCGUCCAAACUACUGUCUACGGAAUUGAUGUUGGCACCACAAGUGAGAGCCCAAGGGUACAGGAGCUCAGAGCUAAAUUCUUGAAUGAUGUUUAGAUGCUACAUCUGUAAAUCACUGCUUGCUACUGUACAACAGUCAAAUUAAUUCGGCACCUUGAACUUGUACAUGGUUUGUACCUUGGGAAGAAAUUUGAGCUAGUUUGUGCUCAGGAUGGCUGUAACUUGCAAUUUAAAAGUUAUGCAGGGUUUAGAAAACAUUUAACUAGAUUUCAUUUUUGGGGGUGUAGCAUCAAGCAGUGCAAAUAUAUCACUACAACAUCAACAAGCUCCAACAAAUCCUGAUGAAGCAGUGUCACUUGUUGUGUCUGACACAGAGCAAAGAUCAGAUAAUGAUGCAAGUUUGCAAGAUUGUUCUUCUAUUUCAAGGGAUAGUUCCAGGGAAAUGUGUGCAUCGAUAAUAGCCAAAUUGCAGGUUAACGGUGUUGCAAACAAUUUAAUUAUGUCAGUUGUUGAAAGCAUGGAGGAUUUUGUUAAUGAUUUUCAUACAAUGAACUGUCGGACCUUGAACACUGUGAUUUUAUUUCACAGCAGCUCCACAUUGAUCCCUCUAGUGAGGUAACAGUCACACCAUGCAUAUACAUAAUAUAUAUAAGAUAUAUAAGACAUAUAUAAAUGUCGUGGUACUGAGUAUCGCUGUGGUCUUGUUGUUUGUUUAGACUCGGUUGAUGAUGCACCUGCCUUUGGAAAAAUUGUUAAGGAUGGAAUUUAUUUGUUGACCUCAUGUAUGUAAUCCGAUUUUGUUGAACAUCUUCAUGCUUUCAGUAUUGUCGCACAAGAGCACGGUCUUGUACUCAGAAAAGCCUGAAGAAUUGUUUUACUACAAGCCAUUUGAUUUACAAAUGUCCUAUGGUAAUGACAGUCUAUCUUACAUCAUUGUGGUUUGUUAUUUGUAAUAAAUGUGAUGGCUUGGUGUUCAUGUGCUGGAAUAAAUUUUUG